GGCCGCGGUAUCCUAACCGUGCGAAGGUAGCGCAAUCAAUUGUCUCAUAAAUCGAGACCUGUAUGAAUGGCUAAACGAGGUCUUAACUGUCUCCUGCAGAUAAUCAGUGAAAUUAGUAUUCUUGUGCAAAAACAAGAAUGUGACCAUAAGACGAGAAGACCCUGUGGAACUUUAAAAUCACAACCACCUUCCUACCCACUCCCCCUCCACUGGACCUACCCAUAUAAAGCCCUUGGUUGACAUUUUUCGGUUGGGGCGACCUUGGAGAAAAAAAAAUCCUCCAAACAUACAGACCAUAACUCUUUACCAAGACCAACACCUCAAAGUACUAAUAGUAAUUUAGACCCAAUACAAUUGAUCAAUGGACCAAGCUACCCCAGGGAUAACAGCGCAAUCUCCUCCAAGAGCCCAUAUCGACAAGGAGGUUUACGACCUCGAUGUUGGAUCAGGACAACCUAAUGGUGCAGCCGCUAUUAAGGGUUCGUUUGUUCAACGAUUAACAGUCCUACGUGAUCUGAGUU
rnacentral:rRNA from 1 species